GACGAACGCUGGCGGCGUGCUUAACACAUGCAAGUCGAACGAUGAAGCUGGAGCUUGCUCCGGUGGAUUAGUGGCGAACGGGUGAGUAACACGUGAGCAAUCUGCCCUUGACUCUGGGAUAACUGCGGGAAACUGUAGCUAAUACGGGCUACGAGGCCCGAAGGAAUCUUCGGUUCUGGAAAGAAUUUCGGUCAAGGAUGAGCCCGCGGCCUAUCAGCUUGUUGGUGAGGUAAUGGCUAACCAAGGCGACGACGGGUAGCCGGCCUAAGAGGGUGACCGGCCACACUGGGACUGAGACACGGCCCAGACUCCUACGGGAGGCAGCAGUGGGGAAUAUUGCACAAUGGGCGAAAGCCUGAUGCAACAACGCCGCGUGAGGGAUGAAGGCCUUCGGGUUGUAAACCUCUUUUAGCAGGGAAGAAGCGAAAGUGACGGUACCUGCAGAAAAAGCACCGGCUAACUACGUGCCAGCAGCCGCCGUAA
rnacentral:rRNA from 1 species